rnacentral:rRNA from 1 species
AUUAAACGCUGGCGGCAUGCUUUACACAUGCAAGUCGAACGGUAACAGGGAGCUUGCUCCGCUGACGAGUGGCGAACGGGUGAGUAAUGCGUCGGAACGUGCCGAGUAGUGGGGGAUAACGCAGCGAAAGUUGUGCUAAUACCGCAUACGUACUGAGGUAGAAAGUGGGGGACCUUCGGGCCUCACGCUAUUCGAGCGGCCGACGUCUGAUUAGCUAGUAGGUGAGGUAAAGGCUCACCUAGGCGACGAUCAGUAGCGGGUCUGAGAGGAUGAUCCGGCCAACUGGGACUGGGAAACGGCCCAGACUCCUACGGGAGGCAGCAGUGGGGAAUUUUGGACAAUGGGCGAAAGCCUGAUCCAGCCAUGCCGCGUGUCUGAAGAAGGCCUUCGGGUUGUAAAGGACUUUUGUCGGGGAGGAAAUCCCCAGCGCUAAUACCGCUGGGGGAUGACAGUACCUGAAGAAUAAGCACCGGCUAACUACGUGCCAGCCGCCGCGGUAAAAC